UGUGUGUGUGUGUGUGUGUGUGUGUGCUGUGCUUGAUUGCAUGAGUGGAGUCUGGUGUGCAGGGGUUGUGGUGCAGCUGCAAAACGUCAUCAAUCUACUCUACUACAAAUACUGGUCUUCAACUUCACCAUGCUGCCAGAUCGUAGACUCUGUUCCCAAAGUCAGUCUAGUUCAAGCCUCUUAUCUGAAAAGCUCUUGUCUGUUUUUGUAUGAAUGUCUCAUACCUGUUUACCUAGCACACCUCUCUGGACUCAGCACUCAGCUCUGGACCUCUGGAUCUCUGGACUCAGCAUAUGUGGCAUAAUCAGUCAUAUAACAUCUUAAAUAAAUGUGUAGCACCAGACUGAGCCUGUGGGACAUCAUUCUGUGCACCGCUACACAUACAGCUCUGGAUCUCUGGAUCUCUGGAUCUCUGGAUCUCUGGACUCAGCAUACAGCUCUGGAUCUCUGGACUCAGCACACAGCUCUGGAUCUCUGGAUCUCUGGAUCUCUGGAUCUCUGGACACAGCUCUCCCCUCCCCCCCCCCUCUGCCAGCAAACUCGCCUGACUUGCUCUACCCAGUUCUCGCCAUCAGAAAUUAAGUAUUGUAAAUAAAUUAUUUCUUUGCAUCUA